rnacentral:rRNA from 1 species
UUGACAUGUCCGGUACCUCGCAGAAACGCGGGGGUGCCCGAAAGGGAAUCGGAACACAGUGCUGCAUGGCUGUCGUCAGCUCGUGUCGUGAGAUGUUGGGUUAAGUCCCGCAACGAGCGCAACCCUUGUCGUUAGUUGCCAUCAUUAAGUUGGGCACUUUAACGAGACUGCCGGUGACAAACCGGAGGAAGGUGGGGAUGACGUCAAGUCCUCAUGGCCCUUAUGGCUAGGGCUUCACACGUCAUACAAUGGUCGGUACAGAGGGUUGCCAAGCCGCGAGGUGGAGCUAAUCUCAUAAAACCGAUCGUAGUCCGGAUUGCAGGCUGCAACUCGCCUGCAUGAAGUCGGAAUCGCUAGUAAUCGCAGGUCAGCAUACUGCGGUGAAUACGUUCCCGGGCCUUGUACACACCGCCCGUCACACCAUGGGAGUGGGGGAUACCCAGAAGU